rnacentral:rRNA from 1 species
AUUGAACGCUGGCGGCAUGCCUUACACAUGCAAGUCGAACGGCAGCACGGGAGCAAUCCUGGUGGCGAGUGGCGAACGGGUGAGUAAUAUAUCGGAACGUGCCCAGUCGUGGGGGAUAACGCAGCGAAAGCUGUGCUAAUACCGCAUACGAUCUAAGGAUGAAAGCGGGGGAUCGCAAGACCUCGCGCGAUUGGAGCGGCCGAUAUCAGAUUAGCAAGUUGGUGGGGUAAAGGCCAACCAAGGCGACGAUCUGUAGCUGGUCUGAGAGGACGACCAGCCACACUGGAACUGAGACACGGUCCAGACUCCUACGGGAGGCAGCAGUGGGGAAUUUUGGACAAUGGGCGCAAGCCUGAUCCAGCAAUGCCGCGUGCAGGAUGAAGGCCUUCGGGUUGUAAACUGCUUUUGUACGGAACGAAACGGCCCUUUCUAAUACAGGGGGCUAAUGACGGUACCGUAAGAAUAAGCACCGGCUAACUACGUGCCAGCAGCCGCGGUAACAC